rnacentral:tRNA from 1 species
UGUGGGUUCAAGUCCUGCACCUCCUG